rnacentral:ncRNA from 1 species
GCACUCCGGAGAAGUCCAACCGAAUGGAUGCCGAAGGGGCAAGCGGCGCGGAAACGCGCCCGAAUCUCUCAGGCAAAAGGACGGAGGUCAA